rnacentral:rRNA from 1 species
UACAGAGGGUGCGAGCGUUGUCCGGAAUCACUGGGCGUAAAGCGCGCGUAGGCGGCUUUGCAAGUCGGGUGUGAAAUCCCCAGGCUUAACCUGGGAACUGCAUUCGAGACUGCAUUGCUAGAGUAUGGGAGAGGGAAGUGGAAUUUCCGGUGUAGCGGUGAAAUGCGUAGAUAUCGGAAGGAACAUCAGUGGCGAAAGCGACUUCCUGGACCAAUACUGACGCUCAUGUGCGAAAGCGCGGGGAGCAAACAGG